AGCGAACGCUGGCGGCAGGCCUAACACAUGCAAGUCGAACGAACUCUUCGGAGUUAGUGGCGGACGGGUGAGUAACACGUGGGAACGUGCCUUUAGGUUCAGAAUAACUCAGGGAAACUUGUGCUAAUACCGAAUGUGCCCUUCGGGGGAAAGAUUUAUCGCCUUUAGAGCGGCCCGCGUCUGAUUAGCUAGUUGGUGAGGUAAAGGCUCACCAAGGCGACGAUCAGUAGCUGGUCUGAGAGGAUGAUCAGCCACAUUGGGACUGAGACACGGCCCAAACUCCUACGGGAGGCAGCAGUGGGGAAUCUUGCGCAAUGGGCGAAAGCCUGACGCAGCCAUGCCGCGUGAAUGAUGAAGGUCUUAGGAUUGUAAAAUUCUUUCACCGGGGACGAUAAUGACGGUACCCGGAGAAGAAGCCCCGGCUAACUUCGUG
rnacentral:rRNA from 1 species